UUUUUGGAACCUUUGUUUUGGAGUUUUCCCAAACCUAUACCUUACUCAUCUUACUAAGAAAAUGGGGCUUAUGUUUUUCAGCCGCAUCGCACUGCUGCAUAAACAAUAGAUCCGCUGGGCUGGAUGAGCAACCUUCUAUCUGGCCUCUGUACUAGUAGUAGAGUUGCUUGCUACUUUCAAUCAUAAAACGAAAAUUGAGCAAGGCAAGGGAGAAAGAAGUUGUCCCCUCCUCUCUGGUAACCCGCCGCCGGUCAUAUAGAGC